rnacentral:rRNA from 1 species
CCUACGGGGUGCAGCAGUGAGGAAUAUUGGUCAAUGGGCGGGAGCCUGAACCAGCCAAGUCGCGUGAGGGAAGACGGUCCUAUGGAUUGUAAACCUCUUUAGGCGGGGAGCAAUGCCGGGCACGCGUGCCCGGCGGGAGAGUACCCGCAGAAUAAGCAUCGGCUAACUCCGUGCCAGCAGCCGCGGUAAUACGGAGGAUGCGAGCGUUAUCCGGAUUUCUUGGGUUUAAAGGGUGCGUAGGCGGAUUUUUAAGUCAGCGGUAAAAUGUCCGGGCUCAACCCGGGCCGGCCGUUGAAACUGGGGAUGUUGAGUGGGCGAGAAGUAUGCGGAAUGCGUGGUGUAGCGGUGAAAUGCAUAGAUAUCACGCAGAACUCCGAUUGCGAAGGCAGCAUACCGGCGCCCGACUGACGCUGAGGCACGAAAGCGUGGGGAUCGAACAGGAUUAGAUACCCGAGUAGUC